UACGAAGGGGGCUAGCGUUGUUCGGAAUUACUGGGCGUAAAGCGCACGUAGGCGGACAUUUAAGUCAGGGGUGAAAUCCCAGAGCUCAACUCUGGAACUGCCUUUGAUACUGGGUGUCUUGAGUAUGGAAGAGGUGAGUGGAAUUCCGAGUGUAGAGGUGAAAUUCGUAGAUAUUCGGAGGAACACCAGUGGCGAAGGCGGCUCACUGGUCCAUUACUGACGCUGAGGUGACGAAAGCGUGGGGAGCAAACAGG
rnacentral:rRNA from 1 species